AGUUGCUAUCCGGCAAGCUAUUGCUUCUGCAGCGAAAGCUGAUACGACUUGAUGAUGAAUCUCUGUACAUGAUAAAAGAGUAUUUCCUUCGCUAUCCCUGGCCACAAUUCCCGCUGCCGAUUGCCGUAGGUUCCCAUCAUAGGCUACAUCAAAGUUGACCUUUACAAACUGAUCCGAUCUAUUAGCCUUUUCAUGCACUCUCUUAUUCCUUUCUCUCCAUAUUGCCCAAAGAGCACAGCAAAAAAUCCAUCGUUGAUUGGGGGAGUUCUUUUCAAAAACCUAGGACAUUCGUGAAAUAUAUGAUUUGUGGAUUCUGCUGCUCUGCCACACCCAACGCAUGUCACGUUGUUUGAAAGCCUUCUGUAGUUCAAGUUGAUCCGAGUUGGAAUAUAGUUCCAUGAUAUUUUCCAGACUAUAAUUUUUAACUUAGGAUGUAGAUUUAGGAGCCAUAGAUUCCUAUAAAAAUUCCUAGAUUCAUUUUGUAAAGCAUAAGCUCUAGGAUCAUUUUCAAAGCUCUGUAAUAGUUUAUAGGCACUUUGUACUGUGAAUUCUCUUGAAGACUCUCCCCUCCAGACCAGAAAAUCAUCGUGGGGAUCUUUAGCUAACGGGAUACAGAAGAUUUUCUCAGAUAUCUCCGCAGGGAAGGU